AUUGAACGCUGGCGGCAGGCCUAACACAUGCAAGUCGAGCGGACGAAGGGAGCUUGCUCCUGGAUUCAGUGGCGGACGGGUGAGUAAUGCCGAGGAAUCUGCCUGGGAGUGGGGGAUAACGUCCGGAAACGGGCGCUAAUACCGCAUACGCCCUGAGGGGGAAAGGGGGGAAUCUCGGGUCCCAUGGGAUUCAAUGGGCCUAGGUCGGAUUAGCUAGUUGGUGGGGUAAAGGCCUACCAAGGCGACGAUCCGUAACUGGUCUGAGAGGAUGAUCAGUCACACUGGAACUGAGACACGGUCCAGACUCCUACGGGAGGCAGCAGUGGGGAAUAUUGGACAAUGGGCGAAAGCCUGAUCCAGCCAUGCCGCGUGUGUGAAGAAGGUCUUCGGAUUGUAAAGCACUUUAAGUUGGGAGGAAGGGCAGUAAGUUAAUACCUUGCUGUUUUGACGUUACCAACAGAAUAAGCACCGGCUAACUUCGUG
rnacentral:rRNA from 1 species